rnacentral:tRNA from 1 species
GGGGGUAUAGCUCAGUGGUAGAGUGCAUACUUAGCAUGCACAAGGUCCUGGGUUCAAUUCCAAGUUCCUCCA